CUUAAGUUGUCUUCACUUUGCAUAUUAUUUCUGCAUGUAGUUUUAUGUCUGUGCUUUGUAGAAAUAUCUGCAGUAUUAACUGUUUGUCUGUUCAUCUCAACAGUUUUUUCCUCCCUGAGAAACUCAUUCUUCAGGUUUUGGAGCAACUGGCCUCAGCCCUGGAACACUGCCACAGACGCCCCAAUGGCAGUGUUGUUCUCCAUCAGGACAUAAAGCCAGCUAAUGUUUUUCUCGAUGACGACUUAAACGUUAAGUUGGGUGAUUUUGGGCUGGAAGACAUCCCACUCGGAAUGACUACGUCAAAACACAGCCUGGGAGUCUUCACUACAUGUGUCCAGAAAAACUCAACAAGACUUUUUAACAUGAAAAGUCUGAUAUCUGGUCACUAGGAUGUCUCAUUUAUGAGCUGUGUACUUUAAAGCCUCUGUUUCCUGGUGAUGGAGGAAAAUGUCUGAUCGACAGAGUCAACCAUGGAAAGGUUAAAAGAAUUCCGUCCCGGUAUUCAGACGAGCUGAACUCCCUAAUUGGCGACAUGCUGCAAGUUUUGGGUCGUGCAACAUGAGUUGGUGUGCACCAGUGACCUCUUCGACCUUCACUUACCGAACAUGAUAUUGCUUCUAUCUUCUUAAAUUAAAACAAUUGUCAUAAAAUGAAAUAUAUCUCUUACUGUUUCUCCCAUUCAGCUAAUAAAAUGUAUUUUGUGAUUCAUGAAAGUUUUCAAACAUGUUGUCUCCUCCCAUAAUAACAUAAUGAUCAGCAUCGGCAUGAAAUUAUCACAUUGAGAAGUCAUUAUGAAGUUAUAUUCAUUCAUUCAUUUUCUAUACCCACUUAAUUAAGAUAUUAUUAUUACGAUGAUUAUUAUAGAGAUUAUAUCUACCAUGCUAGUUGGAAAUGCCUUGUAAUGCUCCAAGAAGAGUUAGGGGACUUGGCUGAGGACAGUGAAAUGUGGGACGAGCUGCUUAGUCUGCGGACACCAUGACAAAGACGUAGAACGUCUGUGUCAUGUGUUGUCUGUGUUGUAUAGCAGUCAGAUAAUGAUUAUU